UGGGGAAUCUUAGACAAUGGGCGCAAGCCUGAUCUAGCCAUGCCGCGUGGGUGAUGAAGGCCUUAGGGUCGUAAAGCCCUUUCGCCGGGGAAGAUAAUGACGGUACCCGGUAAAGAAACCCCGGCUAACUCCGUGCCAGCAGCCGCGGUAAUACGGAGGGGGUUAGCGUUGUUCGGAAUGACUGGGCGUAAAGCGCGCGUAGGCGGAUCUGGAAGUCGGGGGUGAAAUCCCGGGGCUCAACCCCGGAAUGGCCUUCGAGACUCCCGGUCUGGAGUUCGAGAGAGGUGGGUGGAAUUCCGAGUGUAGAGGUGAAAUUCGUAGAUAUUCGGAGGAACACCAGUGGCGAAGGCGGCCCACUGGCUCGACACUGACGCUGAGGCGCGAAAGCGCGGGGAGCAAACAGGAUUAGAUACC
rnacentral:rRNA from 1 species